rnacentral:rRNA from 1 species
AUGGAGGCAAACAACCGCGACAAGGAGACGGGGAGCGCCGCCGGUGCUGAUUUCCCGUGGAUCCUGUUUUCGCGUUUCCCAUCUUCCCCGUUGUGGUUCUUCCCGCGGGGUCAGAUGCAAACGAGAGAAGCGAGGCUUUUCAGUUCAGGCAUUGGCGGCCAGUUCCCUGAACUGCAGAAAUUCUUUCUACUCUUGAUGUUGGUAAAUAGAGUUCAGAUUUUGCGGUUUGCUGGUGCGGAAGCUACAGAUAUUAGAAAUGUUAUCGGGAUGUUUGGUUUUGGUUUCCCUGUUUUCCACAACCGGAGAGUAGUUCCUGAUUUUGGUGUUGAUAAAUUAACUUCAGGCAUUGUGGCUUUUGCUGGGUGCAAGUUGGCAUGCACCUUCUACAACCUGUUUUCUUGGGAGGUUGGAUUUGGUAUCAGAUAUGGAAAGAGUCGGCUAAAGCCGGACAAGAGGAAGACAAUGCAAGAAAUCGUGAGUGGCUGCUCGGCAAAACUAAUUCUUAAAUUUGUGACGCAGUACAUGAGGCUACAAUUCGACACGCAAGCUGAGGAGGGCUACAAAGAGAAACCGACCGAAAUUGUCAUGGAUAAUAUUAGCAUGACAGAAGUAGCAGAGAGCCACAUAGUGAAAAGGUGGUCGAAAGAUGCAAGAGAUAUUUUGCCGGAUCACUUGAAGCACUACUAG